GGAAGUUCUCAGGUGACACACCCCGGAAUAAGGCUCCCUGCCCUCUGGUUCCGGGUGCAUCACCCGAGAACCACA
rfam:Myotis lucifugus cont2.18770, whole genome shotgun sequence.